CAGUCGCCGCGGGAAUACAGAGGGUGCGAGCGUUAAUCGGAUUUACUGGGCGUAAAGCGUGCGUAGGCGGCUUUUUAAGUCGGAUGUGAAAUCCCCGAGCUUAACUUGGGAAUUGCAUUCGAUACUGGGAAGCUAGAGUAUGGGAGAGGAUGGUAGAAUUCCAGGUGUAGCGGUGAAAUGCGUAGAGAUCUGGAGGAAUACCGAUGGCGAAGGCAGCCAUCUGGCCUAAUACUGACGCUGAGGUACGAAAGCAUGGGGAGCAAACAGGAUUAGAUACCCCAGUAGUCCCUGUCUCUUAUAC
rnacentral:rRNA from 1 species